rnacentral:rRNA from 1 species
AUACGGAGGGUGCAAGCGUUAUCCGGAUUUAUUGGGUUUAAAGGGUGCGUAGGCGGUUUGAUAAGUCAGCGGUGAAAUAUUUCAGCUUAACUGGAAGGGUGCCGUUGAUACUGUCGAGCUUGAAUUUAGUUGCUGUGGGUGGAAUGUGUGGUGUAGCGGUGAAAUGCAUAGAUAUCACACAGAAUAUCGAUUGCGAAGGCAGCUCACAAAGCUAAUAUUGACGCUGAUGCACGAAAGUGUAGGGAUCAAACAGGAUUAGAUACCCUGGUAGUCCACACUGUAAACGAUGAUAACUCGCUGUCGGCGAUACAUAGUCGGUGGCCAAGCGAAAGCGAUAAGUUAUCCACCUGGGGAGUACGACCGCAAGGUUGAAACUCAAAUGAAUUGACGGGG